GACGAACGCUGGCGGCGUGCUUAACACAUGCAAGUCGAGCGGAAAGGCCCUGCUUUUGUGGGGUGCUCGAGUGGCGAACGGGUGAGUAACACGUGAGUAACCUGCCCUUGACUUUGGGAUAACUUCAGGAAACUGGGGCUAAUACCGGAUAGGAGCUCCUGCUGCAUGGUGGGGGUUGGAAAGUUUCGGCGGUUGGGGAUGGACUCGCGGCUUAUCAGCUUGUUGGUGGGGUAGUGGCUUACCAAGGCUUUGACGGGUAGCCGGCCUGAGAGGGUGACCGGCCACAUUGGGACUGAGAUACGGCCCAGACUCCUACGGGAGGCAGCAGUGGGGAAUAUUGCACAAUGGGCGGAAGCCUGAUGCAGCAACGCCGCGUGCGGGAUGACGGCCUUCGGGUUGUAAACCGCUUUCGCCUGUGACGAAGCGUGAGUGACGGUAGUGGGUAAAGAAGCACCGGCUAACUACGUG
rnacentral:rRNA from 1 species